rnacentral:rRNA from 1 species
GGGUCAGUAGGUUGGUCGUGCCACCGGUACGUACUGGUCUCACUGAUUCCUCCUUCCUGAAGAGCCGUAAUGCCAUUAAUUUGGUGUUGCGGGGAAACAGGACUGUUACUUCGAAAAAAUUAGAGUGUUUAAAGCAAGCUAACGCUUGAAUACAUUAGCAUGGAAUAAUGAAAUAGGACGAUCGAUCCUAUUUUGUUGGUUUCUAGGAUUGACGUA